GUGAUGAGAGAGCCAGAGGCGAUGGGUGACCGCGCUGAGCUACUCUGA
rnacentral:snoRNA from 2 species